CAAAUUGCUACAUACGUAGCUACUACGAGUUCAUUAUUGAUUAUAAUGAAUACACUGGGUCUUAAUUGUGGAACUAAUUCUCAUCGGUACGCCGAUUAAACGGAUACUGCACGUUUGAAUGUGGCAGAUAAGCACUCGAGAAGGCAGCACAAAUCGAUAUUUUGGAAGCUUCCACAACCAUUGAAGAAAUAUUAUAUGGUCCAGGUAUAUAUGACUCAGUAUUAAUCUCCAAGGAUUUGUGAUGGUCACUGUAAAGAACUUCUGUUGGAACUGGAUCAACACAAACUGCCAUAACUUCAACAAUUUUUUUGUUUCAAGUUUUAGGGAAAACAAGUCAAAACAUGUUGUAAUAAUGAUAUAAUUUUACUUUUGGAAAAUAAAA